GCUCGUAGUUGGAUUUUGGUUAAGAGGGCGCGGUCGGCCGUUUGGUCUGUACUGCGUUGUCUUGACUUCCUGAUGAGGACAUGCUCUUGGUUAACGCUGAGACAUGGAGUCAUCGUGGUUACUUUGAAAAAAUUAGAGUGUUCAAAGCGGGCUUACGCUUGAAUAUAUUAGCAUGGAAUAACACUAUAGGACUCCUGUCCUAUCUCGUUGGUCUCGGGAUGGGAGUAAUGAUUAAGAGGAACAGUUGGGGGCAUUCGUAUUUCAUUGUCAGAGGUGAAAUUCUUGGAUUUAUGAAAGACGAACUUCUGCGAAAGCAUUUGCCAAGGAUGUUUUCAUUAAUCAAGAACGAAAGUUGGGGGCUCGAAGAUGAUUAGAUACCAUCCUAGUCUCAACCAUAAACGAUGCCGACUAGGGAUUGGUGGAUGUUAAUUGAUGACUUCACCAGCACCUUAUGAGAAAUCAAAGUUUUUGGGUUCCGGGGGGAGUAUGGUCGCAAGGCUG
rnacentral:rRNA from 1 species